rnacentral:rRNA from 1 species
UUGCACGCUGGCGGCAGGCCUAACACAUGCAAGUCGAACGGUAACAGGAAGCAGCUUGCUGCUUUGCUGACGAGUGGCGGACGGGUGAGUAAUGUCUGGGAAACUGCCCGAUGGAGGGGGAUAACUACUGGAAACGGUAGCUAAUACCGCAUAACGUCGCAAGACCAAAGAGGGGGACCUUAGGGCCUCUUGCCAUCGGAUGUGCCCAGAUGGGAUUAGCUAGUAGGUGGGGUAACGGCUCACCUAGGCGACGAUCCCUAGCUGGUCUGAGAGGAUGACCAGCCACACUGGAACUGAGACACGGUCCAGACUCCUACGGGAGGCAGCAGUGGGGAAUAUUGCACAAUGGGCGCAAGCCUGAUGCAGCCAUGCCGCGUGUAUGAAGAAGGCCUUCGGGUUGUAAAGUACUUUCAGCGGGGAGGAAGGGAGUAAAGUUAAUACCUUUGCUCAUUGACGUUACCCGCAGAAGAAGCACCGGCUAACUCCGUG